CCCUGUAGCGCAAUCGAUAGCGCUUUGGACUCCUAAUUCAUAGGGCGUGGGUUCGAAUUCCACCUGCGAGG